rnacentral:lncRNA from 1 species
UAAUAGUAAAAGAGUUUGAAGAUAGAGUUAUAUGUGAAAAUUCUGAAUUUCAAUAGUUGUGUAACAACUUAUAAUGUCUAGUAAAGUACUAAUUGAGAAAAUUAGAUUAAUUGAGGGGUUAAUUGAGAAAGGACCGAAUUGUAUAAACUGUGAAAUUUGGGGCAAAAUGGAAAUCAACAUUUUGCACUAAAGCAGUUUUGGAC